rnacentral:lncRNA from 1 species
ACUGAUUUACGGCUACAGCACGAGGAUUUUGGAGGAAUGGAUUUUAAUCAUAUGUUUUAUAUUUUUCUAUUGCUUAAUUGUUUUAUUGGAUUUUCAUUGCUGUUUUAAUUAUGUGCAGGCAUUGAAUUGUUGCCAAUUUGUACGCCGCCCUGAGUCCCUUCGGGUGAGAAGGGCGGGAUAUAAAUGUUGCAAAUAAAUAAAUAAAUACAAUACACACAGAUACCCAGUACCUGCCUUGUGCUUUCUGGUAAUAAAACCUGAGGUAGCACUACGCCAUGUAGCAGUUGUACAGAGACUUGGGAGAGACCACCAAGGUCAUGACUACUCAUAUUUAGAAUUUUAAACAGACUUUGAAUGUGCUAACAAAGGUUAGAAAUAUAUCUUGUUGCAUUUCCAACUCAUGGCUAUGCUAAAGUGGACCCAUUUUUUUUUUUUUGCAAGAUUUGUUCAGAGAGGGUUUGUCUUUGUUUUCCUCUGAGGCUGAGGGCGUGUGACUUACCCAAGUCACCCAGUGGGUCUCUGCAGUCAAAAAGGAAGUCAAACUCUUGUCUCCAGAGUCAGAGUCCAGGUCUUAAAACCACUAUCCCCUAGAGCAGUGGUUCUCAACCUAUGGGUCUCCAGAUGUUUUAGCCUUCAACUCCCAGAAAUCCUAACAGCUGGUAAACCAGCUGGGAUUUCUGUGAGUUGUAGGUGAAAGCACCUGGGGACACAGAUUGAGAACCACUGCCCUAGAGAUUUUUCAUUCUGCACUAUUUUUAAUUGUGUCUGAAACGAUUUGAGAACAUGCUGCAAGUUGCUACUCGUGUAAGAGAAUUGGCCGUUUACAGAGAUGUCUCCAAAAACUAGAGCUGACAGACAGGAGCUCACCCUGUCUCGCGGAUUUGAACCGGCAACCUUCAAGUCAACAACCCAACCUUCAGGUCAGCAGUUCAGCCAGCACCCAUUGUGCCAUCACGGCUCCUAUUACAGCACUAUGUCCCACUUUAACUACCGUGGUUGCUGCAUCCUAUGGAAUGUUAGGGUUUGUAGUCUACAGCUCUCUAGCACCGAAUUUGAACCUGCCUUUUCCUAAACUGCAAAUGACACAACUGCAGCGGAUGAAUGGA